rnacentral:ncRNA from 1 species
GCAACCUGCAACUGGCGCGGCGCGACCCCGUGGUGUUUCACUCCCUGCUGGGCAUCAGCUGGAUGUGGUUCUUCGGCGCGGUGUUCCUGUCGCUGUUCCCCGCCUACGCCAAGGACGUGCUG